rnacentral:rRNA from 1 species
CCCUGCCAAAAUACCCUAAAAUCACCAAAUCCCUUCUGAUCUUGGAAGCUAAGAAGGGUCAGCCCUGUUUAGAUCUUGGUAGGAAGAUCACCAGUGAAUACUGAGUUCUGUAGGUU